rnacentral:pre_miRNA from 1 species
GUUGUUAUAUGUUCACAGUUCCCACAGGGCUUUCCACACUCAUUGAGAAGCGUUGAAAGACUGAUGGGUCCUGGGAACAGAUAUUACAACA